UUCAACACAUACCACUGCUCGUCAACAUUACCAAUAUAUAUAUAUAUAUAUAUAUAUAUAUAGAAUUAGGCUACUAUACUAACAAUAGUACCGAGCUCCGGUAUUAUAGUGUUUGUUUUCGAUCUUAAAGCGUUCAAAUCAACGAUCCACACCGUUAAAUAUGAUCUAAGGUGUAUAAAUGUCUUAGAAAUAAAAUUUUAGUUUUUUUCGAUAUCGUUUACUUAGUAAAUAAAUUAUAUCAAAAUGGACGGUGCAAAUUGAAUAAUCUUUAAAAUUUGAGUAUAGGACUUUUAAAUUCAAGAUCAAGAAUGUUAACCUUAAUCUAUAUAAUUUAAAAUAUUUUCUAUCAAAAUUUGAAGAAAUUUAGAUUCUUCUACACCGUUAAACUCCAAACUUGUCAUAAUAACCAUUGAAAAUUGAUAAUUUUGAAAUAGUUUGAUCAUAAAAUGAACAACAUCAAAAAAAUAUAAAAUUUUAUUUCUAGAAACUUUAAAUACCCUAGAUCAGUUUUAACGGUGUGGAUCAUUGAUUUGAACGCCCUAAGAUCGAAAACCAACACUAUAGUACUGGAGCUCGGUACUAUAGAUAAUAUAGUAGCCUAGCUAUAUAUAUAUAUAUAUAUAUAUAUCACUCAUUCGUUUUCACCUGUUCGACCUGUCCAUCUUAUAACCAUCCGAUCAGUAAGCAUUUCGUAUUGUAUUGAUUCUCUAUUCUUCUAACUAACUUAGAAAAUCCACCUCCUCCAAAAGUGACAAAAUUCUCACGGAACUCCCUCCGAUCGAGAGCGACAUAAUUGUCGCAGACUACUCAAUAAUUUUACUUGCAAAGCCCGUGACAUAAUGCUUCUAAUAUUUUCACACUUAUCUUAAUCUCAAAAUAUAAAAUAAUAUCGUAAAUACUUUUUACGGAUUUAUCAUCAAAGAAAUAAUUAUUGCCAGAUACAUCUCCAUUCCAUGUUAAUUCCGGAAGGUUCUCAUCCGCAAUUCAGUAACGUUGCAUAAUAUAGGCUAUAAAAUACUAGAAUUUUUUUUUUUUUUUCGUGAAGGUAAUAGAACAUCAAAGCAGUUGAUAGACGCAAGAAGGAUGUACCAAGCACCAUAAUUAGCAUGCUGUUCGUUAAUAGUUGCUGCUAAAGUAUUUCAAUUGUUCUAUAUUAAACACACUCUAAAACGUCGAACGAAAAAAAACAAAGUGUAUGCGUCAUAUAAGUGUUAAACUAAAGGAGAUAACCUCUGUGCUACCAUGCAUGUUCUUUUGUCUUCGCUCCAGCUUUGGAACACCAACUUCGUUCUAAUCGCAACUACUAGCUCUUAUAAUUGUUUUAGAACAAGAAUAUAUAAUUGUACAUAUAAACCGGAUAAGUUAAAUUAUACAUGUGGUCUACAGUGGUUAUGACAUAUACAAUUUUAGUCAAACAUAUCAUUACAAUAAUCACGGACGAAUCAUGAUACAACAACAGAGAGAAGAGUUGGAUUAGAAUACAUAGAAUUAGUGCGUCGGCUAAUUAACUUCUCACCUAAUUUUGAACGUGAGUUUUGAGUACACAAAGUGAUGGAUAAAUUGUUAGAAUUAAGGAAACUGUCUAAAAUAAGUCAUAAGCCCGUAUAUAGAAACCCAAUUAUCGCUUACUCCAUUUACCACGUGCCAAUUCGUUUGGAAACACUGAAUCAUGUAUCAUUCCAUCGAAGUGAGUGACGCAUUAAUUAAGCACCUCGUGUGUUACAACAUACGAAGGCUACUCUGUAUUGUUAUGCCGUGUAAAUAAUACAAGAGUGUGUUCGGUUCAUGAUUGGAGUAAAGAUAACAAAUAAAAUUAAAUUGUACUGGAAUAAGAGAAAUUAUAAAUUAUUUAAAAAUAUUUGAUUUAUUAUUGAAAUAAAAAUCGGAAUAGAUUGGGACAUUCAAGAUAUUAAGAGAAAAUUUUGAUUAAGAAAAAAAAAUAAUAAAGAAAGAGAAGAUCAAAAGAAAUGAUGAAUAUAUAAAAUAGAUGAAUCAAAUAAAUCUUAAAAUGUUUACGGACUAUUCAUCUUAAAAAAGAUAAGAAAAAAGAAAAAUAAAAUCUCAGAGUGUUGAACAAAAAUUCAAGCUUGUCAAUUGGAGAUAAAUGCAAAAAUCUGUCCGAGUAAAAUGAUUAUUAUAAUUUAUAAAUAUGGCCGGACCCACACUUAAGUACUUAACCCCACCCAAAGGCGAAAGGGACCCGCUUCUAGAAGAGGCUCCUUAUCUUUUCCUCUCUCGCACCCAAUCACAGCCCACCGUGCUGCUUCCCCGAAAUCGGCGCGUAAACCAACGGCUCUCCUUUCUCCAACCCGACCCGCUACAAAAAAACCAAAAAAAAAAAAAAAAAAAAAAGUAAAAAAACACCCAUGGUCAAAACCACAGAUUAACAUCAUUUACCACAUUGUCUAGUAANAAAAAAAAAAAAAAAAAAAAAUCCUCGAAUGCUUACGUGUCACGCCUCGGUGGCGACCUCAUCUCCGACGUCAUCACCAAUGAUCAACCCACUCCCCCCCCCCUCUCCACGUGCUCCGAGUUUUUUUUUUUUUUUUUAAUUUUCUCGUCACCGAAUAAUCAGAUAAUCCCCAAAUAUUCAUAUUUAUUACGUCAUCCGAAGGGAAAUGGUUCAAUUUUUGUCACGUGCUCCGUGGCGAGGAAACUUCACCGAAGCUCCAACCCGUCUCUGAUAUAAAUCCCUUCGCCCUCUUUCUCUCUCCUCCCCCCAACCCACCCCCACCCCAAAAAUCCACUCGACUUUGAGCUCCGCGAUUCUCCCUCCGCUUAUUCUCACCGGGGGAGGUGACCGUAAGCGCGACGAUGGACCCCGAGUUUCUCGUCGAGAGCAUCCGCCGCCACCUCCUCGACGAUCCCGAGGAGGUCCCGUCACCUGCUGCUGCUGCUGCUGCUGCGGCGGCGGGGGCGGUAAGCGUACCGCAGGGGCCCCGCGCGUACGCGCGGAGCUCCAGCUUCGGGAGCCUCGUCGCGGAUCAGUGGAGCGACCUCCCCUUCCGCGCCGACGACGCCGACGACAUGGUCGUGUACGGCGCCCUCCGCGACGCGUUCUCCCUCGGGUGGCUCCCCGUCGACGGCGCCCCCGCGCCGGAGGAGGCGGCGGAGGCGCCGCCGANNNNNNNNNNNNNNNNNGAGGCGGCGGAGGCGCCGCCGACGCGGGCUCCGGCUUCGGCGGCGGCGGCGGGGGUGGCGAGGGGGAAGCACUACAGAGGGGUGAGGCAGAGGCCGUGGGGGAAGUACGCGGCGGAGAUUAGGGAUCCGGCGAGGAACGGGGCGAGGGUUUGGCUGGGGACGUUCGAGACCGCGGAGGAGGCCGCGCUCGCGUACGACCGCGCCGCGUACCGGAUGCGCGGCUCGCGCGCGCUCCUCAACUUCCCCCUCCAGAUCGGCUCCGAGCAAGCCGCCGCCGCCGCCGCCUCUCCGGCGCCGGCGAAGCGCCCCUCGCCGGAACCCUCGUCGUCGCCCUCCUCGUCGUCGACCUCGUCGUCGUCGUCGCCGAAGAGGAGAAGGAAGAGAGGGGAAGCGGCGUCCGUGGCGGCGGCUCCGGCUCCGGCUCCGGCUCAGAGUUCGAUCCCGGUUCAGACGCAGACCGGGUUGGUAUUCGCGACCGGACCGGAGGUAAAUUUCCCGGUCGGGCCGCUGACACGUGUCGGUCAGCUUUUGGUUAGUUGAGUGGCAUCGGAUUAGAAAGUGAGCGAUUUUCCUUCUAAAGGUCAAAAGAUGGAAAGGGCGAGGAAAAGUCAAACGAAAGAAGCAAAAUACCCUUUUAUAUUAGAGCAGCAAGGAUGAGAAAGAUAAUUUUGUCACACAUCUUGAAAAGAUGCACUCUUUUUGUGAUAUCUAUGAUUAAAAAUAAAUGUAUAUAUAUAUAUUUUAAAAAAAAAAUUUGUGUCCGAGAUACAUACUUUGCAGCAUCGCUAUUGAAAAAUCUAAAAGCAUUUAUUGGAUGAAAGAAGAAACGACAAAAUGAACACAAUUGCAUGAUUCAGCAUCCGAUAAGCGCGCAUUGGAACACUUAUUUGUCAAUAAAGUUUUUGCUUUCAGAAGAGGUUGGGUCCCCCACUUUUUUUGAAUCUUUAGGAUUUGAAGUGAUUGGCUUUAGAGAUAUUAUGUUUUACUCUUUGAUGAAAUUAAUUUUCUAUAUUGUAAGGUGGUUUUAAAAAUGAGAGUCCUAUAUACCGAACACUGUGAUGGAGAAUGCAUUUAUCAACAUUUAAUGAGGCCAUUAUUGUUCUUAGAACACUACAACUAGCCUAGCGUGGAUUAUGUAAGCAUCAAAAUUGCAUUACCCACUAAAUCAUUGUUAAAUACGUGGCCACGUAACCUAAUCCCAAUAAUGAUUAUACUAAUAAAUUAGCCUUUGACUAAUGUUGCGCUCAUCAUAAAUUUGAGGGUAAUUAAUUGCUUUCACCACUUCCCUCAUAAUAUCUCUUGUCAUCUGCUCUUUCUUCGUCACGUUCCAUGUGCAUCAUAGUAUUAAAUUAUCCAAACAAGCAAGCUACUUUGUGAACUAGUUACUAAUUUAUUAUACAAUUAUUUGUACUUGAUUAAAAUUUAUAAAUUGAGGGUUAAUUACUAGUGCACGCCUACAAGCUAUUAAACAUUGUUUUUUGGGUUACUUUUGUAGGUACGAAUUAGUUAUUACUGGUGGAGGUAUAUAGAUCAUUUAAUUCACUAACUAGUGGUAAAAUUUGCUAACUUAACAGUAGCGGUAAUUUUUUUUUAAAUAUGUUACCCACUUUGUUUAUUUUUUUAAAAAUAAACUCAACUAGAAGGCUUUUGAACUUUGGAUCUUGGAUACCAACCAUCAAAUUCUUUGUUACUUACGCUAGGGACGGUCAGUAAUAGUAGCGGUAUUUCUACAAAGCUUUAUAUGGUUAGAAGGGUAAACUUGAUGCUUUAAAUUUUAUAAGUUUAAUUUACUAACUUAUUGUUUUUUUUUUAGAAAUAAACUAAGUUGGAAAUACGAAACAAUUAGGCUUUAAAUUUGGAAUCUUGGAUAUCAAUCAUUAAACCUUUUGCCACUUACAUUAGGGCCGGUCGGUAAAAGUAGUGGUAUUUCUACAAAGUUUUAUAUGGAUAUAAGGGUAAACUUGAUGCUUUAAAAUUUAUAAGGAUAUGCAAGCCAUUUCUCUAUUUUUGAAGGAAUAUACCGGUAAUUAACCCUUUUUCAAUUAGUCCCUAUUUGAUUGGAAAUAUCAUUAAUCAUGAGGUUCAUUCCAGUCAAAUUUUGAACUAUUUUUGGUGUUAUGAGGUCCCCAUCACUAAAGAAAAGAAUACCAAAGAAUCUUUGCCAUUUCACUCAUCAUUUCCUCUCAAAGCACUCUCUUUUUUUUCUCAAGAAAUUAAACAAAAAAAACCUCUUCUACAAUUAUCCAAUCUAAAAAAAUUACUUAUUCCAUGCUAUAGUGUAAUUCAACAUGAUUUUACCGCAAGACUUAACACACUAAUGUAACAAAAAAUAAAAAGGGAAAAGAAAAGAAAGGAUAAUGAUUAGAUAUCGUAAGCUAUUUAUCUUUCUCUCAAAUGGCGUUAGCUGUUUAUAAUAUUUUCUACCAAAUAUCUAUUACAGAGAGGGUUUUAUUGUCUUUGUGUCGCACAAGGGGGAGGAAUGAGAAAGGUAAGCGCAAACCAUGUGCAAUCAAUUCCAUGCUUUUAAUACAAUCAAUUCCAUGCUUUCAAUUUAAAUCACAACCUCUUUUGGACUUUCCAAGCCAAGUAUUCAAAGAAUCAGCAUUUACUAUAAAACCCUAAAACUGUGGUCAAUUAUGUGGCUGAGAACUUCACAAGUCCUUGCUUAUAUCAUGCGAGUUGGUGGAACUCGUUGAAUAUUCGAAAAGAAGAUUCUAAUCUAUUACUGCUAAUUUGUCAUCAUCGACCCCCAAUUCAAUCCCGUUGUGCCCACCAUGUACUACUAAACUCCUCUAGCUUGAGAAUCACGGCCGUCUGAUCGAAUUCCGAUGGCUCUUAGGAUGUAGUUCGAGAUCGAAGCCUUUGAUCACCUAUAAUUCCAUUGUUAUUGUUAAGACGCGACUACAGAAAAUCUAUAAAGCAACAAAAAAAAAAAACUGAAGCGCAAACCCGCAUGGAAAAAGAUAACACGUUAUACAGGAUUAACAAACAAUACUAGAUCGCCUAUAAUCUAAUUGCUUCAGAAUAUAGUAUUUCUAUGUUUGGGUCAUAUACAGUAGUAUAAUGUCAAAAUACAAGCGAUAUUAAAUAUAGCGAUAAAAACAUUGAGCUUCUUCCAAGUGAGCUUUAAAUGAACCAAGUGGGCCCAAAAGGCCAGCCCACCUAUACUCCCAUAUAUGGCCCAUUACUCAUCUCUUCUCUUCUCACUGAAGAGUAAAGAGCCCUCAAACCGGAAUGACACGUGGCACUGCAUGCGAUACUUCUCACUCCCAUGCCAAAAGUUUGGUACUUUUAGGGGCUGUUUGGUUGGAUGUAGUUGCAGAAACAGUAUAGUUGAAAAUACAUGCAGUUGCAAAUGCUGCAGUUGUAACUACACCUAGUCUGUUUAGUUUUACGCAGUUGCAACUGCUGCAGUUGCAUUUCUUCUGUUUGGUAAUAUGAAGCUGAUAGUUGUAUUUGUGAAUUUUAUCACCUUUUCAGAUAGAGUGGUGAGAUUACCUUCACUAAACAUAAAAUAAUUGUAUAAGUUUAUUAAUCAUUUAAAUUUACUAUUUAUAAAUAAAUAAGUAGAUAUAUAUAAUAUUCUUCAACUUAAAAUUUACACAGCUAAUUAUUCAACUUCUUAAUAACUUUUCAAANNNNNNNNNNNNNNNNNNNAUACAUAUAUCCAUUUAUUUUUAUGAACAUUUAUUUGAGUAUGAUUAUUUUAAAAAAUCCGUUAUGUUCGAAACACGUUUUUUAAUUACAGUACGGGGCCUAAUGAGCAAAGGGGCCCGAGCGAUUGUCUGGGCGGCAAAUGUAUCCAUAAAGGAGACAUAUGCUUUAUUAUUUAUUUAUUUAGCUAUUUAUUUAUUUAUUUAUUAUUGUUAAUUUGUGGGUGAUCCUAUCCCUCACCAACUACUGCAGUUGGAACUACGGUCAAUUUGGAUGUAGUUUCAAUUGCAGCAUUUGGACCUUCUUAUGUAGUUGGAACUGCAGCAGUUGAACUCAACUACACUAAGCCAAACAAAGGAAUUAAGGCUGCACGCAUUUGCAACUCCACUGCAGUUGCAAAUGCGUGCAACCAAACAGCCCCUUAUUGCGUUUCGCAGGCAUAAUCUGGUGGUUAACUUACUAGACUGGUUUCCAAUAGCGAAAAAGAUUAGUGCGGAGGUCCUUCCACGAACACAAAUUGAAACCAAGCACUUGCGUUCAGCUGUUGUUUCCAGCAGUUGUAGCGAAGCCGCUGAAGUCAAUUGUAGGAUCAAUUCAAUGCGAGUUCGGUGGAUUAACAAAAAAAAAAAAAAGAAAAAAAAAAGAAAAAAAAAAAGAAAAGACAAAAUGAUGAAAAAAAGACAAAAUGAUGGCACGAACGGUGAAAAAGAUAUACUAUUAUGUACGGAAGAGAGCUCAUGAGCCGCUUUAGAUUUACAGUUUUUUUUGACAAUUCUAAUAAUAUAUGCUUUUGCCUUCAACUCGUUUAAGUGAACCCCAACCGAACAAACCGGCCCAAGAAAAGGAUAAGCCAAUUCCAUUCAUUGCAUGCAAAAUCACGAGGGUCUACAAUUGAGAUAUGGAGCAGCUUGGACUGGUCAGAUAUAUCAUUGAGGACUACAAAGUACAUCCAUGAGAACUACAACAACUGACACAUUACAACAAUUAUAAGGAAACAAUAGCCCACAUAACGUCGAGAGAGAUAGAGAGAGGAGGGAAAAAAAAGGGAAAGAGAAAAACCCUCUAAAAGAACUCGAAGUCCAGGUACUUGCCUCCGGACUUCACAUCCGCCCCGACCAUCCUCUUACUGCUGCUCCCGCCCGUCCCCUCCGCUGCCGCCCCGGCCUUUGCUAACAGCGGCAGCGGCUCCGCCUCCACCGGCCUCGGCACCUCAGGUGGAGUGCUGCACCGAAUCAGCGCCCAGUUCACCCCCUCAAAGAAUGGAUGCUGUUUUAUCUCCGUCGCCCCCCGCUUCACUCCCAGCCUAUGCUGGGGUUCUUUCACCAAUAAACCCUUGAUCAAAUCGCGGCUCGCGUAACUAGUCGACGGGGCCUCCGGAAACCUAAGCUGCUGACCAACCACAUUGAACAGAGUUGCGCGGUUUCCCGACCCUUUGAAUGGUGUCUUUCCAUACAAGAGCUCGUGAAGAAAAAUCCCGAAGGUCCACCAAUCAACAGCACUGCCGUGGCCUUCGCCUUUGAUUAUUUCGGGGGCGAGGUACUCGUGGGUCCCCACAAAGGACAUUGAUCGCGCGGUCGUUGGUUCGGCCACCAGCUCAGGUAACGCGGAGGGGGACGACGGGCUCCCCUCGGCCCCCCUUGCCUUCCUGGUCUUUAUUUUCUUGCUCUUUUGGUGGAAGAGUUUGGGCAUGAAGCACGAAGGUUGGAUGCAGACGGAUGAUGGCUCGAUGCAGGCGGGUUGGACGCAGAAUGCUCCACCCGCUUGCUUCGGAUCGAGUGACGACGUCUUUAUCAGUGUUGGGGACACCGCACAUCUAAGAGACAGAUCGAAGUCGGAGAGCAUUAUGUGGCCGUCGUCACGAACGAGAACGUUUUCCGGUUUAAGAUCUCUGUAGACCACCCCAAGCAUGUGCAGAUAUUCCAGAGCUAGGAGAACUUCCGCAGCAUAAAAUCUGUCGAGAUGAGAAAGAGAGAGUUUUAAGUUUCAUAAGCAAGGCAAGAGAUUAAGAAGAAAGAAUGCAGUUUUAUUAACUGGUAGAUGAAGAUGAUCACAAAAACCAAGAGGAGGUGGAAUUAAUAAAAAGAAUAUAAGGAGCUGCAUGCCAUAAGACAGAUUUGCUUUCAUUCGCUUUUGCAUGUUGCAACAAGGAGUUUAGUCAAAGAUGGCUAGUGGAACAGUGUAACUAUAUAGCCCCAUUGCAUUCUAAAUAAGCAAGCCUAAAACUACAAGUAUGCGAAGAAAUUUUUAUAAAGAAAUCGACGAACAGAUUUAUGCACUGUUUGAAUUUCGAAUUUAUUCAACAUACAACAAAUUGAUGCAAUACUCCGUUUUUUAUUGCACAAAAGUGUAACCAUAGCUUUGGAAUCGAGCCAUUACUCCUUUUAUUUAUUUACUAGGUUCCUCAGAUUUCCUAAGAAACAAAUCCUACAAGAAAAUUUACAGACAAAAUGGCCAAAAGAGUAGAAACAGACCACAGAAGUAAUACAGCAGUAUAAAGCAGUUCCUUCAUAAAGUCAUAAUUUAUGCUUAGGAAACUCUAUGCUGGAAAAUCUAUAACAUGCAUAGUAAUUUUGCUGUAGUACAACAAACAACAAUUAUGUGUAGCAGGGAUAGUUUACUACAUUCUUUAUUCUUUUGCACAUCCUUUUAGUACAUUUGGUAAGACUUAAGAGAUUCUUUCCUUUCUCGUGAGUAGAAGAUGCUUUACUUUUAUUCCCUUGACUAGAUGUGUCUACUUUAAUUCUUGAUUGACAUACCGUGUACCAAAAGCGAUGAUAUUUUAGACUAAGCAGGUUUUAUGAAUAUUUUUUAUUUUCCUUCUUCCUUUGGUAUUCAUUCAACAGACAUUGACAUUGACAUUGACAAAAAUCUCGGAUGGCACAUGAUCCUGCUCAGUCUUCCUUUUUCUUGCAAAUGCUGCAUGACCAGCAUGUUUACAUAGUACAAGAAUUAUUUCUCCAGAUAUUCGAUGCCCUUGCACAUCUUCCAUUAUAGGGCUACCACUAAACCCCUCCUAGCUGGAAAUUUUUUUUGCCAAGAUCCUUAAGAGCUUCUAAUAUCCAAAUAUGUAUGGCAUUUUCAGGAAUUAUCUAAAUAAGCCACCGAAAUACUAGUAGUCCCCAUGAGAAGCAAAAGCUCCAGAAUGCUGCGCGCAAUUGGAGUCUUAAAAGUUAAAAAUGUUAAAUUUCCUAGCAAUCUGUACAAGAGCUGACCCGCAAACAGAACAGCCAGACUCGAAGAAGAAAAACGGUCAUUCUUCUCCACCGGAUGAGAUUACUAAAAGCAAAGAAGUGGCAAUUCCUCACUUGAGAUUAAAGAUGCUAAAUAUCACGGAACAUCACCUAGACAAACAAAUGGUGCAAUUCAAAAAGACAUCAGCUGUCCCAAGCAUGCCACUGAGUAAUGUUAACAAAAGACUAAGCUUUCCAGCCAACAGACAAAAAAUUCAGCAAACAGUCCAGAAAUUAGAACUAGAAUAACACUUGUUAUGUCUAAAUUAAAAUAAUAAAAAAAAACGAAAGAGCUGGUUGCUGUAAAAUAUUACCUUGCUGCAUAUUCAGAGAAGUGCUUCCCUGGCUGCCGCUGCCUCAGCGUGUGCAAAUCACCGCCAGGACAGAACUCCAUAACUAAACAUGAGAACCUAUCCGUCUCAAAAUGUGUAUACAAUGUCGGAAGGAAUGGGUGAUCCAGAAGCUGGAGUAUCUCUCUCUCAGUCUGAGCCCUAUUUAACUUCUUUCUGCUAGCCAAUGAUGCCUUAUCCAUUACUUUCAUCGCAAAAUAGCACCUUGUUCCACUCAACUCUGACAAGUAAACACUGCCGAUAUCACCGCAGCCAAGCCUUUUAAGCAAUCUAAAAUGGCUCAUUCCCAAUAUACCAUCUCGAGCCCGAACAGCAAGAAUAGCCUUCCACCGUGGGUCGUUUCCCUUGUGGGGCUUAUUAGCACUUCCGGUUACAUUGCUCCAAUUACUAUCGUCACUAAGCCCACUACUAUCGCUUGCUCUACUCAUGCUAGUCUUUGCACUCUCGAGCGAAUCCCCUUUAAAACUACUACCCUUCGUACUCUCGCAAUUCCUCUCCACACUAAGCAUGCCAUCACUAGUAACCCCUUCACUUCUAUACGUACUUGUGCAGCUAUUCACGAUACUCAUAGCGGUCACAACACCAGUUGAAUCAAUACUGCUAUGGGGACUAACAUUCCCACUAGGAGGGAGGGAAGCAUCCCACACACACUCCUUUUCGUCGGAAUCUUGAGGCAAGAAUGCAUUUUCCAUGUUCUGAGAGGGUCGAGGAACAGCGAAAGGAGAAGAUGGCGCGCCCAAUUCACUAGGCUCCUCAAUCAAGCUCUCAGCAGGGGAAGGAACUCCCAACUUUGCUUUCACACCUUGAACUCUAAUCGAAAGAUCUUCUAUGAAAGGACCUUUUACAGAGAGGCCCUUCAUCAAACAGCCGACCUGCGAUUUCUCUUGGUCUAUGGCUACAUACACCGUCUUCAUUAGAUCCAUAUCAAUAGGCUCAGGUGGAUGGCUCGCGCCUGAGAAAGAGCUCCGCCCACCUUCUUCGGACGAAUCGAUGCUCCUAAAGCUUUCUGCCUCGGCAGUCAAGUCCUUGCGUUCUGGAUUCGCGCUCUUCCCUUUCCAUUCUUUUGUAAGAACUGGAAGAUCCAAAUUCUUCACAGCGGAAGCACCUCUAAUACCUCUUAAAUCGGGGGCCUGGGCAAUCGCAGGGAGCUUUACAGGGAGCAUUUUCGGCUCGGGAAUCCUAUCCAUCUCCAUUGAAUCUUUAACAUCACCAAGGUAUAAUUUGUGAAAUUCACAAACUAAUAUUAGCAAAUCUGCCAAAAUUCGCAGUGGAUUUAGACAAACUGGUGCGUUUCUCAAGAUGUUCCUCUCUCAAACCUUAAGGAUUCGUAGUAUUUGUCCAAUUUCUCACGGCUUCAGAGUAAAGGGAACUAUAUACCAAGUAGUAUUACCGCAAGAGCAAGCAAAAUUAGAUUACGAAGCAAGCACCACUUGAUUCCUCCUCUGCAACUCCAGAGACCUACAAAAACCAAGAGAUCAACGCAUUCGAUCAACUCCAACAUCUACAAAACUCUAUCAACUAAGAAAAUCAGCAUAAAUAACGAUAAAUCGCACAAACUCUAACAACUUAUACUCCGAUCCCCGUAAGGAAUCAUACGACAAAAUUGAACAUAAUUCGUCCAAAUCUCCAAAAACAAACAGAAAACAAAGAUUACAACCCGAAAAAUCACCAAAGCACGAAAUCCUGCACAUUCCGAUCUUCUAGAGCAAAGAGGAGCUCUCCUCGGAAGUCGAAAAGUUCCCAAAGGAGAGGAAAAGAAGAACAAUUCCCCGACAAAGACAAAUCCUCGGAUUUCUACAGCACAAAGGAGAUUCGGAACGAAGGAGAAAAAGGAGGAGAACAGAAAUCGCCGCACCUCGCAACAGGGGAAGUGGGAGAUCCCGGAGAAGCUCCUCCGACGCCUAGGGUUUCUGAGUUCCUCUGAUCCUGAUCUAGGGUUUUCCCACUUCCCCGAACCCCACUUCCACCUCCGUCCUCUUCCCCCUUCUUCUCCACAGACACAAGGAAAAGGAAGGGAGAAAAAAGAGGAAAAGAGUGUGGCAGCAGGAGUGUAGAGCGCUGCAACCCGGAUUCUCUUUUUCCCCCUUUUUCCUUUUUUAUUUAUUUUUUCCCUAAUUAUUUUAUUUUACCAUUUCCAUUAAUCAAUUAAUUAGCCGACACUAAUUAACAGUUAGCAGUACUAAUAAUAGUAAGUACUUUAUUAGUCGCGGGAAAUCCAGUGAAGCGGGUUUUGGUCCAAGCGAAUAAAUACCGUGUCCGUACGACGGACACGUGGACCCCGUGCAUUCAACCGUGACAGAGCACCGUUGCACAAAAGAAUUUUCUCGGGGACCGUGGGGCCCACGGGACUUUAUUUUUGUUACGCUUUCACGCUACACUGGAUGACCUGUCACCGUCGCUCAAUGCCAUCUCGGCUUAAUCACCGUCGGAUCUUCAUCGGACGGUGGAAUGUCGAUUGACGCCACAGGAUACUUGUUUGACCACAUGGUCGACUGGGUACGACCAUACGAAGUACAGAUGCAUCCAGGCACAAUUCGAAAAACUUUGUCAAAUUAACUCAUAAUUUUAUCAAAUUUAAUAAAUUAAAUUACUUUAAUACUAAAUAAAAUUUAAAAUCAACAGUUAAUAUCCAAAGGAGUCAUAAAUUUUGGUAAAAUUUUUUAAUUUAAUUAAAAAUAUCAAAACUCAAUUCAAAAAGUUAGAACGUAAAAGAGUGUUAACAAAAAUAAACAAAGUUGAGGUCUCGCUUUCCGAAUAUUAUAUAGUUGAGGGGUCUGCGUGCAUUUUCACCGUGAUGGAGCUCGGCGUGACAAGGGAUCGGAUCCGUUGAUUUGAUCUCUUUGGGUGACGUGGCGCAUCGGAUGGACGGGUGCUAUAAUGGCGUGGUGAUAAAGGGUGGGGACGCGAUGCUGUUUGAUUUGUCCUCGGAAGAGGACAAAGGAGUCAAUUCCUUGUGACUGUUUUUACCCUCGCCCGAUAAACGGUAACGUAUCAUCUCUCUCUCUCCUUCUUUUUGCCCCUCCUUGUGAAAUGAUCCUCUGCAGAUGUGGAUGUACGAAUUUGCUACGAUCUGAUUCUGAAUUUUUCAUUUUAUUGGUCAUUGCCAAUCAUUAAAUUUGAAUAUGUAAAUUUGAAUGAAUAUUUACUCCGAAUUAUCGCAUGUUCACCCUAAUCUCACCGCAUACACUCGUGUGAGUAAUUGUUUUCUUGAACAAAGGUGAAGUGGAAAUUACUUUUAUUGCGCAAUGUUAAUCAAAGUCUUAUUGAGUGCUCAUAAGCCAUUAAUUGCGCAUGUAUUCAUUUCAGUAAAUAAUUUAUCCAAUGGUGACCAAUUUAUUCGGGUUUGUAGGAACUCACAAAGGAUGAAUUUCCCAUUCAAGCUGGAAAGUAAGAGAUAGAUCAACUUCCUCUUGAGGGUUAAUUAUACAUCUCACCUAUUUUGUCGAUAAUUUUAAUUCUAUAAUCCUAAAUCUUUAUGAUCAAUUUAUAAACAUUUAUUCUAUAAAAUCUACAUGGAGAUUUUCUCUUAUAUUAGCUGCUACCAUCCUUUUAGUUUCACAUUUUCCAUUCUUCUAGUGAUGGUUGUUACUCAGUUGCUAAUUUGAGAGUUCAAAGAUUUGAACAUCUACUUGUACGUAUAUAUAUUGAGGCAUUUUAGAUCCUGACUCUUAAAAUUAAGAGAAAACUUAAGAUAUUUUCUACAUGGUUUAUUGUGCGUUUUUAUUUAAGUACUACGUGCCUUUAAUUGUAUCACUUAAAUAUUGUGCAAUUUGUAUUUUUAUUUUUCAUCACUUCCUCUUUUAUUUUUUUUCAGUAAAUUUGUUAUGUGUCAUGCAUGUGUAUUGGAGUUUUCUUUCGUAAAAGAUUAAUAAAAAUCUCAUAGAUUUUUUAGGAUUUAAUCUUAAUUGCUCUUGGUGAGUUCCCCAACGGCGAAAAAGCAACAAUCCACGAAUUCAAGUGUGCAGUAUGUGACUAUUUUAAUAAAGAGCGUAAUGAAAAAUAAGAACACAAAUCAUAAAAAACUUAACUGGUACGGUAAAAAAUAAUAUGAUAUUAAAGUAAAAAAUUAAUAUACCAUGUGGGGCAUGUGAUUUUUUUUCACAAUUUAAUACCCCAGUAUCUGAAACUCUUUUGCCGGCCACUGUCGAUCACCAAAUUCAAUAUAACAGCUUGAAAUUUAAAACAAAUAAUAAUUUUUGAAAAUUAAAUUUAUAGAGUAAUUAGCAGCAUUUUAAGUGGGCAUCUAGAGAUAUCAUGAUCCUACCACCUUGAGGGUGCGUUUGGUUCGCGCUAUCUUUUAAAGAUUCCUAGUAAUCCAAUGGGAAUAAAAAAAUAUGACGGUGUUUGGCUAAACGCACUAAGUAAUCUAGUUGGUAAUAUUGGAUUCACUUGGAAAUAAGAUUCAUCCCAAAGUACUAAUCUCAUUCCCUUGAGGGAGGGUGGAUAUCCUCAUAUUAAUGGAAUGGGGUAAUCAUAAUAUGUCUAAUCUCUUUCUUUCUUCUUACCCGCCGGCUAAUUGAUAUUAUUUUUCUUUACACUCUAACCUUAUAUCUCUCUCUAAACUUAUUUUUCUCUCUAAAAUUCAACUUUUUUUUCUCUCUCUAAACUAAGCUUUCUCUCUCUCUCUCUUUCUAAAAUUUCAACUCUCUUACUCCCUCUAGUUUCGACUAUAUUUUUCUUUCUAUUUUUUUAAUUAUGCUCUCUCUCUCUAACUUAUACUCUCUCUCAUUUUUUUAAAAAAAGAUGUUGAAACUUUUGGUAACAUUAUCUAAAAUUAAUUAAAUAAAUAAAUUAAUUAAUUGUAUAUUUUUUGUAAUAUUAAAUAAUAUGGCUAAUUAAUAUUACCGUGCGAACCAAACACAGGAAUUUCACAUUCUUAGUAAUAGGAUGAAUAGGAAUAAAAUUCUCGGAUAUCUUUUAUUCCCAGUAAUCUUUCAUAAUGCGAACCAAACGCACCGUAAAGAUGAAGUCUACUGUAUCAUAUUUGCACAACAUCAUUAAUAACAAAUCAAUCGUAUCUCUCUAGUUAAGAGAAAAGUAUAAUAAAUUUUUUUUAUUGAUCAUAAUGGAACAUAGAUGAAUAAUUUUAUUAAUCGGUGACAUUAGGUCGGCAAUAUACCAGAUAUAUAUUUAAAUUUUUUUCCACCUCGAAACCACAAUGUAAUAAGAUCCAGCGGGGCGGUAAAUUUGACAACGGUAACAAUCGACGCGGCUAAAAAAGCAAAUCCCGAAUACCAAGGUCCAAUCGAUGCAAUGUCGUGAUUAAAUGAUUAGAUAUAGAUCCUGCUAGAUUUUUCACCUCUAAUUUAGCGACCCUAGGGAUCCUCCCACUGGGUACUACCUAAUUACUUAUUAAUAAAUAAACCACUUUCUUUUUAUAUUAUAUUUAUUUAUUUAAUUUAAUUUUCGGUUGUGAAGGGGCUAUGAAGUAGCUUUUGAAACCUACUUUGAUGGCAUUGGAAUUAGGAAAAAGGUAGGUAGGUCUCUUCAUAUGAGCCUCCUUAAUGAUUCCGCCCCCCACUUUAACGUUCUGAAAAAGCCUGUGGGCUGUUUGGUGGUGGGCCUCUUUAAUCUCCUCAUCUUUUCUCCAUAUGAAGAAUGGCUUUUGGUUUUCUUUGACUGUACCGUUGUGGCCAGUGAAAUUUACAGCAGCUCGUAGGCCCCACAUUUGAGGCUGCCGAGAAGAAAAGGAGAGACAUGUUCUGGUGUUCAGAGCUUGUGGAAACGACUGUUCUUUGUGGUUUUUGAAAAUACUUCUCUAGUGAAUAUAUCAAUUUGAUUUGAUGUAAUUUAGUGUUCAAAAAUUUUAGUUUUUGAGAAGUUUUGUUUAUUUACUUUAGGGUCUCUCUUCGGAAACUUUUUUUAUAAAAAAUCUAGUACUUCUUUCGAGCCAAUUCAAUGUCGAAAGGGAGGGUUAGACAUGUAAUUUACAAAACAUUCUAAAGUGUUGGGAACAAGAUUACAAUGUUGGAUGUAGUCCACUUGAUUUAUUCGAGGUCAUUCAUAAAAAUUAAUGCUGUCGAUUUAUUUAAGACGAUUUAUAGGUACAGUCGACCCAAUAGUUAAAAUGUAUUUGGACAGUUUUUGAUAGACGGACAUGAUUAAAUAUGCUUACAUUAGGUUAUCUGUAUAUAUAUAACAUACGGGAAUCCCAGCCUAACCUUAAUCAAAAUUUUUUGUGACGGCUCCAUCUUCGAAAAAAAGAAAAUAGAUUGGAAACGUCCCGCUCGUUUGCAAAUCAUGAACGAGUAUGAACCACAAGGAAGAAUCGCCGUCUAUAAUCCGUAUUUGAAAAUUAAAAUAUAUACAGUCUAACAUACAAUUAUCAUUUGGGGCUUAAAGGGAGAGAAUAUGAUUAAAUGCUUCUAUUCCUAAAGCCAUUGAAGGGAAUUUGAUCCAAAGCUGCAAUUAAGCAACUCUCUUUUUUGGGUACAGGAAGUGCUCUGGGUAGGACCCAAGCCACUUUGCUGCAUGUCAUCUCCAACAGUACUGCAAACAAAGAGCUAGCACUAGCAUUAUAAGACCACUUUUUACUUAAAUAUAUUCAAAUAUAUAUUGAUAACCAACCAAUAACCAACUUGUCAUAUUUACCUUUGAUUUACCUAUCAUCAUGGCAUGCACCCGAGAUUUACCCCCACCUAAUUGAAGCUUUGAUUGAUUUCUUCUACUGUCAUGGACCAGGAAGGGGUGGUCAGUAACACUCAAUUUGCCACACUUUUGAAUACUGCAUCUGAGGGUCACUAUUAUAAGUGCAUUUCUUUGAUCCUACCAUCAUGACAUUUUUUUUUUUUUUUUUUUUUUUUAGGUGCCACCCACCCCCACCUUUUUAUAACAAAAGAUAUAAGAGGUUUGUGGCACCUUCCUAACUACAGUAUUCAAUGUGCUAUCAUUUAGAAAUUUUUUAUGUUCAAAUAUGACACGACACGAUGCGAUAAUUUUACACCAUAAUAUAGAACGACAGGAUUAAUUAUAUCAUUCAAAUUGGCGCAACUGACAUGAUUGAUGUAUUGAGAAUCUAAAUCACUAGUUGUAUCUUUAUCAUGAGACUGCAUCAAAAUAUACCAAGAUGAUAUAGUUUAUUUCCAUAUAUUCAGCUAAAAUUUUUUUACCAUUUCAGAAGGAACCGUCCAACCAGAGCUACAAUUUUGUUUUUUUUUUUUUUUGACCCUGAAAUUUUGAAAAUUUAUCUUAUAUAGUCAACAGGUUAUAAAACAGCCAUGUGGCAGGUUGUAUCAAAUUUCGACAUCCCGGUUUUGUAGAGGAUCCUUCACCGUUACGGGCCGUAGCUGUUAAAUCACGUGGUGGACAAUUCUGUGGCUAUUAUGAUGAUUAUGAUCUUUAAUAUUAGGAGUCGACAGGAGUAGGCCCCAGUAUCUUAAACAAAAGGGUCUACUUUUGAGACGUGAGGAAAUUAAAGUGGGUGAUAAUGGGAAAAGCUAGAGACCACCUUGUACGCAUUGGCAUUAGAUAUAGCUUUAGAGCAUCAAGAGUAGCAGUAGCUCCAUUUAUUAAGGUUUCUAGGGUUUACUAGCGACGGAGGAUGAGGAGACGAUGACCACACUUUUUUGUGUCAGAAUUGUCCAAUAAUAGAAAAUGCUUAUUGCUUCGGAGUGCAAAAAAAGUAACAGAUACAUAUCUACAAGGAAUUCCAUGACAGAUCCAAUGCAUUGAAAUGAACUCAGCAAUUAUUUUGCAAAUGAAGCUUUGGAUCCAACUUCCUUUAAAAAAAGCUUGGCUCUAAACUUUUGGGCCUAAUUAGGUUUUAGGCAAGCUAGAGUUUGAGCACUUGAUUUGGCCUAAAGUCCAAAACUGCUUUCACACUCAAAAGUAUAGACCUAAAAACUACAAGUUCCCCCGACUGUCCCUAGAGAAAGUGGCAAAGGGCUUGGUAGUUGGUAUCCGAGACCCAAAUUCGGAUUCUAAUUGAUUCACAUUUCCAGCUAAGUUUAUUUCUAAAUGAAAUAAACGAAGCAGAUAGCGUGCUAUAUAUCUAUCUCUCUCUCUCAAAAAAAAAAGAAAAAUUACAUAAUAAUGAAUCAAUCAAAUAGCUAAAUAUUCAUGAAAGCAAGAAUUUUAGUUUCUACCCAGCAAUUAGGCACAACUUAAUUUGUCCACGUCUAAGUUUUAUAUAUACACGGAGGCCUCCGUGCUCCUAAGUCGUUUUUUAUGUUGGAGUUUUCGAAUCGAUGAUCGGAUCCGUUAGACUUAAUCUAGCGUAUUUGAAAUAUCUAGAAAAUAAAUUUUGUGAUUUUUCGAUAUCAUUUACCUAGCGAUCAAAAGGGUUCAAAAUCAACAAUUUUUAAUGGUUGAUGUAUACCAUUUGNAAAAAAAAAAAAAAAAAAAAAAAAAAAAACUACAAGUUCCUUUGAAGCUUUCAUUGCUUGCUUCAGCAGAUAUUUUACAUAAUUAAUAUGCUAUCACUGUCUUAUUAAGUAGUUAGAGUUUGAAUCCCACCUUGAGGCGAACAAGUUAGAACAUUUUCAAACUACCAAAUAAUUGUUCUAUCCAUUACAGCUUUCUUCUAUAAGAAGUUUCAAGGUAGCUGAACAAAUCGUGUUAAUAGUAUAGUAUACAUAUAUAAGAUGUUCCAAUGCAACCAAACAAGUCGUGAUGUUAGCGAACAAGAAACUCUUACUUAUAUAUAGUGCGCAUGAACCUUUAAUGGUAUGGUCCUCAUAUAUAAGAUGUUUCGGUGUAACCAAACAAGUAGUGACGUUAGUGAACAAUAAAUUAUUACUUAUAUCUAGUGCAUUCAUACAUAUGUAUCUUGCACGCUACCUUUGAUUAACACUCCAUCCCAUGAGAAAGCUUAAACUUCAUCCAUCAACCUUUAAUGAGUACAAUAUUCUUAUAUAAAAAGUUUUAGUGUAACUAAAUUAGUCGUGACGUUAGUGAACAAGAAAUUAUUGCUUAUGUCUAGUGCAUUCAUAUGUGUAUCUUGCAUGCUAUCUUUCAUCAGCCCUCCAUCCCUUCAGAAAGCUUUUUUUUUUUUUUUUUUUUUUUUUUUUUUUUUUUUAGAGAGAGAGAGAGAGAUGGGUAGCAUGCUACCCGUUUCGUUUAUUUCAUUCGGAAAUAAACUAAGCUGGAAAUGUGAAUCAAUUAGGAUUCGAACUUACGUUUCGGGUACCAACAACCAAGAUCUUUACUACUUACUUUAGGGACGGUCGGUCAUUCCAUCAUAAAGCUAAAGGUCGUCCAUCAUCUGAUAAUGGUACUAAUAUCGGACGACUACGAUUGAUAUGCAUGUUCAAUGGGUGUUCCUUGUUCUACGCUCUACUGGGACAUCUGAGUUCACACCGACUACCUUAACUAUAUUUUUAUUUUUUUUUUAUUACAAUUUUUUUUUUCUUGGUUGGGGAGAUGCAGAGAUGGUUUAUUUGGUAUAGAUAUCUGGAGCCAGAAGUCAUUUUAUAUGCUGAAAACUUCCUGUCAGGACAACCUCAGAGCCCAUUCACACAUCUAGAAAAGACCAGGCUUGGUCCUUAAUCAGAGUGGCCCGCGUAGUAAGCCGCGACUCGAUUCGGCCCGGCCUAUUAGAAUAUCAAAAUUGUUAUUGAAUGAUAACCUAAUCUGACAUUUAUAAGAAAAAUGAAUUUAACUAAGCAACUUUUAUUAUGAGAUAGUCAUAUAAUAAUAUAAGAAAAUUGAAUUUAACUAAGCAACUUUUAUUAUGAGAUAGUCAUAUAAUAAUCUAAUUAAAGUCACUUAUAGCGAAUCCAAAUCAUUAAUUUGCUCCUGAACUUGUGGAUUCGAGGGAGACAAUGCUAUCAAAUUUAGCCAGAAACGGAGCACGCAAACUUGUGUAGAUUGACUAAGGAACUAUGAUAAUAUUGCUUUAGUGGGCCAAAUCUCAGGCUACAAAAAAAUCAUUAAAAAAAAGUAAAUAGUACCAAACAAAAAAAAAAUAACGAAAUAAAGGGAAAACAAUCUAGUAUUGUGUUGUCAAUAAAUGCUAGUGCUAAUUGGUUUAUGUUUUGCAACAAUUGCAUAGCCAGUUGUUUGGACUUAUGUAUGCCUACUGCUUAUUAUACAGCAAUUAAGCGACCGGUUGUUAAGACCAACUACUGGGUCGUCUAUUUACAUCCCUAAAAAGAUUGAUUACCAGUGUGGACCAGUUGUUUAGUCCAACAAUUUGGCCUCUCCCAUUAUGCAUUACCCUGUCCUAGUGACGAUAUAUGGGGCCAAAGUAAACAAGUGAAAAUUUUCAGAUCUCAAGAGAUAUGCAUGAAAAUGUAUUUUUGCUAAAUUUGUCCUGAAACGUGUCUUUACAUAAAUGAAUAUGAUGCUCCAUCUAUUUUCUCUCCGGAGAAUAAAGCUAAGUGGUUAGAUGUCACUCUCCGAAGAAUAAAUGUUAUCUAGCUUAAUCAUUGAAUUUUCUAUUUAGGAAAGUCGUUUGUAGUUGAUUCAUAAAUAAAAAGAGUUAUUAAGUAUCACAUUUCAAUUUGAGGAGAAGAAUCUGUUAAAUUAUUCUUUAUAAAAUUACAUAAAUUUUAAGAAUUUUUUGCCAAAAUAUUAAAGCUGGAAGAGUAUUUUUAUAUUUUUUUUUCAAAAAAAAAAAACAAUAGUUUGAGGCACAGGAACUUGCCCGAUUAGGGGGCAAAGUUCUUUCCUGUUUAAACCAACUUGAUUUGGAAUCUUGGAUGGAUCACCAAAAUAAUUUUGAACCAAUAGGAGAACGCCACGUACCCAAACCGCAGUAUAUCUUAAACCGGGAUUCACUCCAUGUAGGUCCUUCAACGGCACGAAGAAAAUAGAAGGCGACGGAGGCGGGUCCCACAAGGUGAUGGUCGGUGAAAUCUGCGGACUCAUUCAAGCGCGCAAUCCACCGUCCAAAAUCCACCCCUCGACGAAUCCCCACCGUCGAUGCAAUACGGUGUCGAAUAGCGGAUAGUACGCGUCCGCAUGCGCUUUUCGCACCUCCAUAAAAUCCGCUGAUCCGUUUCUUUCUUGCACUCCCCAGUCCUUUCCCCAGUGUGUCCGCAUCGCGAGAGCACAGAACAAAACCCACCGCACUAUUUAAACACACCCCAACAACCGUAGAUCGCAUCACCCAUCCCCGUCCCCGUCCCCGUCCCCGUCCCCGUCCUCGCGAUCCAAACCCUAGCGGUUUGGAUCUCGAUCCAAUGGCCAUGGCCUCGCCGGCGAGGGAGAAGACGGAGGCGCUGGUGGAGUCGCCGCUCCGCUACUCGCCUCCCAGGGCGGCGAAACCCGACGCCGACGCCGCGUCCGAGGGCUCCUCCGUCUACUCCGGCGACGCCUCUGAUCGCAGGGAUGUGGAUAUCUUGGUAUUCCUCUGAAUCCUGAUUCUUUCGUCUCUUUCUUGUUCGAAUUCGAUCGAGUUUUGAGGGGAAUUCUUAUUAAUCGAUCUCAAUUUGCAGGCUCUAGGGUUCUCGAAUCGAAGCGAAGAGUAUCGUUUUCUCUUUCGCCUCCCCACUGAUGAGGUUAGUGUGUGUCCGCACUAGGGUUUAAGUCGACGCAAUUGGGCUUCGCUCUCUUGUAGUGAACUUCACUAGCGAUUUAAUUGUUUCGGUUCUGAUUAAUGAUAACAUUAACUGUUGUUGCAUGUUGUUAUUUUAGUUUGAAAAAGGUACUGGGAGAAAUCUGAAUAGUAGUUAGAGGAGUACUCCAAGAUGAUCUUCUUGAUUGCUUUAGAAACAGAUAAUAUUUACUUUAUAGUUUGGUAACAUAUUUAAUAUUUUGAUUGAUGUGACGCAACGCUAGCUUAAUAGUUCGAUUGAUGUGUAUUAUGUUCUUUCACCUAGUUUUUUUAAGUUGGAUAUGUAUUAACAGGAGAAAUAUAAAGGAGUACCCCAAGGUUGUCUUCUUGAUUGCUUUAGAACCAUAAUGCUGUUACUGGAGAAAUCAAGAUGAUAUUUAUUCACAGUUGGUUAAAAUAUUUGAUUCCAUAUUAUUUUGAUUUCUUAAACUUUUUUUUUUUUCGAUUGCACUUAAUUCAUUAUUGAAUCUUUUUUUUCCCAUUAAUAUAUUUGGCAAGUUCUUCCCUACAUUCGUUUAGGAUGAUGGAAGCCAACGGCAACUAGCGGCAAUAGACAAGUUUCCGUGAAAAUUGAAUAGUCCUGUGAAAAGGAAUAAAAUAACUUUCAUUAUGGAUGCUUUGCAUCUAGCUGCUUUUUGCAUUUUUCCGUCCCUAUUUCAUGUUGCACAAUUAUCGGUCUUGUGGUGCAUUAGUUUGGAUGAUUCAUGUGCUUUUGUAGAUAAAAAAAUGUUUUGAAGAAGUUUCUAAUCAUCAUUUUCUUGGAAGGUCCUUGUUCAAGACUUCAACUGCGCUCUCCAAGAAAAUAUCCUUCUUCAGGUACUUAUUCGUUAAUGGUUGACUUGAUGAAUAUUUUUAAUUUCUGUAAACACAUUUCGUAUUCUGCCAACUUUUAGUGCUUUUUUGGUUCUCAUUGUACACAAAUAAUUAUUCAACUAAUGUCGUAUAAUUGUUGCAUGUGGACUAUUUAGCAAAAACUGAGAAACAUUGUACCAUUUCCUUUGCAAUAUUUUAUUUUCAAAGUGAAAAUUGUAUUCUGAUAUUUAUGUUUCUGUGAGUUUUAUUGCCUAUUAUUUGCCUUCUGUCUUGCAGGGUCAUAUGUAUUUGUUUAUUCAUCACAUCUGCUUCUACUCGAACAUUUUUGGGUUUGAGACAAAGGUAUUGAAUGAAUCUGUCAAUCUCUAUUUCCUCACAUACAAAAUCUGAUUGUAUUUCACAUUUUUCAGAAUAAAGUAUUCUAUUCUAUCAGCAGUCCUUAUGGAGUAUAUUAGUGUACACUGAAAUUUCUUCUCAAGUUUUGAGCUUUCUCAUGUGAUUGUAAUCGUGACGGAGCAGUCCAAAAGUAUUAGCAUAUGUUUUCGGUUUAUAUAAAUAUACAGCUUUGAUGUGUGACCGUAUUCUAUUUUUAACCUUUCUAACAAUGCAACAACAGUUGAUAUGUCCUUGUUCGAUGAAUGGAAUUCCUCUACUGGCUUCAAAGGUGUAAUUCUAGUAGUAUGAGAUAAUUAUCUUGUUUUCCCAAUAGCAAAAAGCUAUUAAACCCUCAUAACAUUUUGAUAUCAUUAAUUCUUCUAUUUGUACAAAUUGUAGAAAUGCUCUAUUUUUGAACUUAGUCUUUUCUGUUACAUCCAUCGUGACGUACUACAUUCUGCUUUUUGUUGAGGUUACCUGUUGCGAAUUGAGCUAAAAUACUUUUAGAAGCACCACCUCCUUGGUGCUUCUAAGUUUUUAGCCCUUGGAUCUACUCCUUGAUUAUUACUAGCCUUUGAAUCAAACACUAUUCCACCUACCACCACCUACUACCAUCAUCCCAACCUUAUAUUUCUUCAUCUAAAGGCUAAAAACUCAAAAGCACCACCUCUUUGGUGCUUUUGGAAGUAUUCUAGCUCAACUCACCUGUUGCUUUACAUUUUCAUUCUUUACUUUAUCUGCUGAUUAGGGCAGUAUGGAUUAAUAGAAAGUGAUGUUCUAACUUUUAUCCGUUGUUGCAGAAAACAAUUCCUUUUAAUGAAGUCAGUUGUGUCCGUAAAGCAAAGACAGCUGCAAUUUUUCCUAAUGCCAUAGAAAUUGUUGCUGGAGGGAAGAAGGUAAGGAAGCUUUGUUACUCUACCAUCACGGAUUUGUUCCUUGGUUAUUUUGGUUGCCUCUGCAGAUGAAACUUUAUUGAAAAUUUGGUCAAAAGUUAUUCUACACUUUUCUAGAAACACUUGGGUUACUAAAUUAGUAAAUUUUCUUCUGAAAGAAUAUAAAUUUCAUUGAUAUUUGACUGAUGAUGUGCUUCAAAUUGUUGUCAUCAAACAUCAAUGGCAGCACUUUUUUGGAUCUUUCUUGUCACGUGAUGAAGCUUAUCGUCUCAUAGUGGAUAAUUGGUCGCAACAUGGCAGUAAUGCUAGAAACUUCCUUGAUCGCCAGGUGAGCAUUCCCCAUAUUAAUUGAUGACCCUUCAAAGGUUUCUAAUGCUUCUUGUGUUCAAUCAGCUGAGAGCUCUAAAGCUUCUCAUAGUUUUGCAGUAGGUUCGGCCUCAAAUACUAAUAAUUUUGUGUCAUUUACUCAUUUAUUAAAAAUUAAUGCAUCGUGUAACUGUUUUUUAUUUUUUGGUUUCAUUAUAUGAGAACUGUCAAGCUGUUUUGAACUGCUAGUCACAACCUCCACUUUUAUGGAUUAAAAAGAUCCAAGUCAUGAUAGUGUGACUUUAGAGAACUUCUGGUGAUGACUGUAGGAAGCCCAUAUAGUGUUGGACAAGUUAUACUCUUUUAUCUUCAUGCUUGUGAUCCACCUAAACAGCCCCAUACUUCCCAUGCUUUGGGUCCUUUCUGCAAGAUAGCGCUGUAUCAACUAAUCAUUUUAACAUGACUAAUGUGUUUUCUUUUGGGGUGAAUUGGCUUUUCAAUGUCUUACAUGUUAGGUCUGAGAUAAGCUGGAAAUCUGCUGAUAAGCUCUUUUAUACUUGUAUUAAUUUUUUUUUCCAGUCCAUUUAUUACUUUGUGAAUAAGUUUUCAUUCUGAACAGUUUAGACUUUUCUUUUUCCCUAAAUGAUUGACUGUUUCUUACCUAUUAUGCUACUCAUAGUAGCAGGAAUGGUUGAAUUUUAUACAUUAUAUGCAAACUAUACUUAACAGAGUUCCAUUCUCAUUUUCUUUAUAUGUUCUGGAUAGCAUUGUGCAUUUCCAACUAACAUGUAUAAUGUGCUGAUUUGAGUUUUCCUUGCUCUUUGAUCUUGUGACAUUGUCCAAUUAUGUUUUAGUUGCUCUAGCCAUUGUUACAUCCCUUUGGAGGGGGUUGGUUUUGUUACUUUCUGCUACUAAUAGAAACACAAAUUCUGUACAAUUUGAAGAUGCUACAGCAGAGGGUUUUAUGUGUAGAUAUAGUGUCCAGGUUAUCCUUUUCAUACAUGCUUGUGUGUUUGUUUUCCCCCUUUUUUGCAAGAUGCAGUGAAUGCAGUGUGUGCUAGUGAUUAAUUUCUGCUCCAGGAAUCAAAGUUGGACGGAAGCAGUCAAGAGUCUCUUGAAAAUGCAAGUAUAUUAUUGGAAGGAGCAAAAGAAUCUAAACAACUUGAGGAUGCUCCAUCAUCCUCAUACAGGUUGUUCUUGUAAAUUACAGGAGACGUGGUUCUAACUUAUUAUUCUGUUGAGGUCUUACAUCUCUUUGAUUCAGGUAUAAGGAUGCAGAUAUUUCCGAAUGUAAAUCUCUGGCAGAUGGUAAUAGUGACAGCGAUGUAAGCAAAAAGGUUGUGGAAGUCCUGGAGAAUGGGAAGGAAGAAACUACUGAAGGCUCAUCUCCUCUAAGUCCUGCCACUUGGCGGCUUGAAGAUAGUGAUGUUCCUGAUGGUUAGUGCUUGGUCUAGUUUGCUUUACUGCAUGCCUUUUAACUUUUGCCAACUGCACAUAAAGUAGAAAGGAGAUUGAAACUUAUGCCUUCUACUUUGCAGUGCCUGAGUGUUUCACGUUGGUUGCAGAGGCAAAGUUUCCGGUGAUGUAACUUUUUAUUUGUGCCUUUUGGUUGGGCUAUUUAUAGUUAGUGCAUUACUGAAUGCCAAAUAAAUAAUAGGUCCGCAUGGAAGAUUUCUUUAAUCUAUUUCUCUCUGAUGAGUCUGUUAACUUUCUUGAUGACUACCACAAAAGAUGCGGCGACAAAGGUAAUUUUUUCUGCUUGAGUUGUUUUUUCCCUGUUAGCUCUGCCUCUUUCAUGAGUCUAGCCUGAUUUUGAAAUUAACCUUUUAUCCUACUGCCGUUCCAUUUUAACUUCUAGAAUUUCGCUGCACUCCAUGGCGUCAGGACGAGCAGUUUGGAUAUGUUCGUGAUGUAUCAUUUCUGCAUCCAAUUAAAAUAUAUCUUGGUAAAAAAAGAUCUGCUGGAUUUACUAUAUUACUAUAUAUGGUAUUAUUUUACAUUUUGACAUUAUUUACUUUUAUGUAAUAUCUGUUUAAUUUUGUUUCAUUAUAUUUAAGGUGCAAAAUUUGGUAACUGUCAGGAGCUUCAGAAAUGUCAUGUGUAUAGGAACAGGUAGCCUCUAUUAUUAUUUCGUGGCAUAUUUUUAUCAUCUUUACCUUAAAAAGCAUGUUCUGCGUUAAUGAGAUAUUGUUUGCAAUCCUACAAAUGGUAUGAGCUUUUACGAGGAAAUGAAAACUCGCUGAAGUAUCAUGCUUCUGCUGGGAAGCUUUCUUCAUACAUUUUGGCAGUUUGGCAUUUUCUGCUGCAUAUUGGCAUGAUUUAUAGUGUUUAUAUUUAUUGAACUUGUUUGAUUGAUUUAGUUUCUUAUGAUAUUCAUAAGAAUAUUGUUCCCAUUAUUCUGUUUCAUUGAAUUGGUUUAACUAAUUGAGUCUUACUUCACCUUAGGUACUGGAUGUGGCUUUGUUCUCUUAGAUGAUAAAAUCUUAGCUAGUCAUUCAUUUCUAUCUACUUAACAUCCUAGGUCUUGAUUCCUUAUAGUUCUAACGAACUUGCAAAUAUAUUACCAUGUGACGUUUACUUGUAUGAUCCCUUUUGUUUGUCAUAAUCCCUUAACAAUCAAGUCAUAAGUGGUUUGUUCGGACAUAGGGCUUAGGAGAAGCAGAGACCUGGGGAAGCUUGGUUUGAAACAAUAAGAAGAUAAUCUUCUUUAAAUUCAUUAUAACUUGUUCUUUUUUUCCCCCAACCUUUCAUUUUGAUCAUGUCCGAGCUGUCAGUGCUUCUCUUUUUGGCUUUCUGCUAGAAGCUCACCUAAGUAAUGGUGAUAGUUUAUGCAGCAGUUUAGCUUAAAGAGUUCCUGGUGACUGAUGGUUUUGAUGAUUGUUUAUAGAAUUGUUGCUUAUCGACAUAUUUAACAUUCUCCUAUUCAUCCUAAAAAAUUCUAUGGGUUUUGCAUAGAGUUAUUACUUUAUUUUAUAUUUAACAUUCUCCUAUUCAUCUUAAAAAAUUCUAUGGGUUUUGCAUUGUGGGAACACACAUUAUAUCAGUGUAUUAUUAGCAGAAGGUUUCAAUGCAAGGUUGUUUGUUGGGAAUAUUUAGAACUGUAUGCAGCAGAUAUUUUUGUCUUUCUAUCUUUGUUGUUUGUUUGGUACCCCUGCCAAUUUGUUGAAAGUUUUUUAAGCUCCCUGCAGUAAUAUGGCAAGAGCUCCUUUAACAAAUACUAAUUGCAGAUGCAAGCAAGAUUGAGUAUUUCUUUCUUCUACUUGCUUUUGCUAUUUUAAUCUAUACCUCAUUUUUGAGUUUGUAUUAGUACAGAAGCAACCAAAGGUUAUGCUUUUCUUCAACUUUACAGUAUUUACUUGUCACUUAAAUAAUUGCUUAAGAUACUGAAUAUAUUUGUGUUUCUUUAUCUAUUACCUGUGUUUUCAGCUGCCUGUGCACAUUUUAUAAGACCACAGAAAUCAUGAUGGUAUUAAUUGUAUAUGUGAACCUAUAAUUUUUCUUACACUUCAAUGAUCGUGAACUUAAUCUCUUGACAUCUACAUGCUUUGUCUUCUGCCAGCCACAUUGUAAUCGUGACAUCUCAGCAAAUUAGCGACGCGCCUUAUUCUGAUCACUUUUGUGUUGAGGUGUGGCAUUUAAACUCAUGUUUGGUAAAUAUUAGAUAUUCACUUUUCGUGAACAAAGUGGUGAUUGCUAGUUAUAGUUUUUCAUUAUCAUUGCCAUUAUGCAAAUUGGACUAGGAACUGGUUCAUGUAGCGGAUUUUGUAACAUUCAUGCUUCUUCAUUCAUAGCAUUUCGUCGAACAGAGGAACCGGACCUAUAUGUUUACUUAUUUUAAGGAAACAUUGUGAUAAUUAUGGUUCUUUCUUUGAGUCGCUUAAGCUAUGGAAAUUUCUUUUGAGUAUUAUCAAAUAAUGAAAAAUAUUUGAUACGUUUCCUGAAAUUGUUGUAGCUCAUUUUUUUUUUGUAAAUAUUUUUUCAUUUUUUACACUAUUUUGGGUUGUAAUGGUAAUGAGUCUCAAGAGGGACAGUUGAAGAGUUGCUGUGGUAGUAACUGUAGUAGCCAUCUGGCAGGAUAAAUUAUUCUAUGUGAAAUUGUUUCCGGAGUUGUUGCUUUAGGUUGGAAUUAGCCACCAUCUUUAAGGCAGUGUUUGGUUAGUGAAUUUGUGUUAGAAGGGUAGGGAUAAAUACCAUUCAUAAGAACACCAGUUGAAGUGGUUAUUCCAAUUGUGUUCGGAUGGAAAUAGAGAAUAUAUGAUCAUCCAUGUAAAUUGCAUUACUCCAACCAUAAACAUGUAAUUUAUAAUCCUGAAAAGUUGAAUUCCAGGAAUUUACCUUUUUUCUGGGUUGUUUGAUACCUCAUCCAAAUACUGCUGUUAAGUACAGAACUGACCAUUGGGAUAUUUUGGGUAGAGGACAAAUUUGGGUGAGAAUUCCCCACAUUCUAGAUUUGCUCCUAUAUCCCCUCUAUUCCCCUACCUACCACUUUCUAAAAGUAUACUGGACUUUUUUUAUUUUUGCUGAAAGUUUGUGAUAUCAAGAUUCAAACUUCCUUUCCCUUUGGCCUCUAACGGUCCUGGCCUUUAUCUUAGUCAUCUCCCUCCAUUCCAAUGUUCAUCGUUUUUCUCGGUUUUAAACUUCAUAUUUUGCUUAUAAAAAAACUACUACAGUAUGGCAUUCCUUUCUUAGAGAACUUGAAACAUGUCAUGUUAACCUUUCAAGUUCUCUACAUACAAAAUAAAAGAUUUGGGACAAUGCUUUCCUAAGGGGGGAAGAUAUUGAAUUAUAUUCAAAAUGUGCUUAGCAACAACUGAAAAUUAAAGUGAAUUUUCUUAAUGGCCAUCCAAGUAACACUUUAUCCAGUGAACAUCAUUCUGUAUUUUGUUGUACUUGUUCUAAAACAACAGGAUACUGAAUAUGCAUGGUAACAAUGCAGUAUAUGGACCAUUUAGUUUAAAUUUGGCUAACUUGGUGUAUGAUUUAUUUUGUAGCUCAUGUAAGGUUAAUGCUUUGGAUUUUUGCUUAAGCUACGAAGCUCUUCAUACUGCAUUACCUUUAGAAUUAUAUGACAGUAAUUCUUUCAGUUGAUGGUCAUAAAUCAACAGUUUAUAUUUUGUUUUACUAUAUGUAGGGGAUAUGGGAUGUUGAGCAGAUUGAGCAAAAUUGUUGCGCUCUCAGGGUCUAUUCGAAUGUGGCAUUCUCCAAGAAAACUAUUUUUAAAGGUAUGUUCUUUCAUUCAUGCAGCUUUGAAAGGUUUCUAGUUUUGUUUAUGUAAAAAAGUCAAUCCACUUCUUUUUUGGAAAAACAGAGCAACAGUUUUGUAACGUCGAUGAACUGAUGAGGCAUUCAUCAUGCAUCACAAAAUAUUUGAAUUCACAUUGGAAAAGGAAUCCUUGUGAGGCAAUUCAUUUUUUUGUUUAACCUUAUAUUUUUGCUGAUUUACUGCAUAGUUUUGCCGGUGCUUAUCAUCUCCUAUAAAUAUAAUGUGAAUGUACAGGAAAAAUAGAGCAGUCAACAAAAGAUGAAUGCCGGGAAGUUUAUGCAAUUUGGAUCAAGAUUGUAGGGUUCCUCUAUACAUUAUUAAGGACUUCUACGUGUGCUUUCACAUUAUGUUAUGUUAAAGACAAAAAUCUAACUUAGCAUUUUAUGUUAUCCAGGCUCAUGAAGUAUUGAAGAAGAAGAACAUAGGUGAAACAAAAGGUUUGUCCACUAACUGUGGAAUAUAGGUUGCGGCUUUGAUUAUUAUGCAAUUCAACAUGACAGCAUGACUAGGCUUGACUGUUUAUUCUAAGUUUGAUUUUCUUCUUUUUUUUUUUCUCUCCUCGUAAUGAUAAAUUUGAACUUUUUAUAUGUUUGUCAACAGGAUCUAUUAAUCAGAACAGAGUAACCACAUAUAGCACUGCUGAGUCAGGAAGUCUUUCGAAGGUUGAAAGAUCUCCAGAGAAGAUAUAUCCUUCGGUGAACCCUUCAUGCAUUUCUAAUGAUGUUCCUGAUGCAAAGAAUGGGGUUCCAUCUACCGACAAGCAAGUGCAAGAGAAUCUGGGAUUCUUUUCAUAUAUAGCAUCCAUUGUGGGAGAAAUAUGGGCCAGAUAUCUUUCCUCUUCCAAAGCAAGUCACGGUCCUCUGAUUUUAGUAACAGCUUUUUUUGCACUCCUUAUUCUAAUGCAGGUAAGUUCUCUUUUUUCCUUUCCAUUUCUUUGUUCCAUUUUAGCUGUUUUCUUACAUCUGUUUUCUGAUCUAGAAUUCAAGUAUGUUACAUAUUAGUGAUUUAAACAGUCAUCUCGGCUCUAUGUUUUAGUUAUCUUGGCUGUAUGUUUUUGUCUUUAUUUUUAGUUAUCUUGACUGUAUAUUUUAGUGUCUUUAUUGUUAUGAUUACACUAAAGUUAAUUUGUGCGUAUUAAUUUGCUCCCGAUCUGAUCGUUGGAUAUAUUGAAUAUGAAAUAGUUUGUCAGUUUUCACUAGAAAACUAUUUGUAUCUCUUUGAGUUUUGAGAGCAAUUCACAUGCAUUAUUAAUUAUGCCAGUUCAGUGGAAACUAGAAAUGCACUUUUUUUUAUUGCUGUAUGUUGAUUACAGCUGCACAGGCUUUCUUCCUUGAGUCUUGCCACACAAAUGCUUUUGAGCCUGAAAUCCUUUUGGUAGUGCUCCUUUUUUUUUUUUUUUUUUUUUUUUUUUAAUGUUCAGGUCACCAUGAUAACUUCUGGACCAAAAGAAUAAUUAUCUAAACAGUUUCUUAUGGAGAUGUUCAUUCCCCAUGAGGAGGAAAAAACGCUAUUGAGCUUGAAAAUCUCUUUGCAGUCUUCCUAUUUUUGUUAUGUUCAGGUCAACAUGAUCACUCCUGGACCACAAGAAUGAUUAUCUAACAGUUUCUUGUGGAUCCGUUUAUUCCUCCUCUUUAGGAGGAAAAAAGCUUUUAUAUUUUUAAUUGUCUUUUGGUAAAUCUUCUGAUGCAUGAACUCUUCCGACUGUCUCUGUUUAUGCUACUGAUUGCAGAUAAGCAUUAUUAUCCUGCUGAUUAGAUCCCCUAAAGUCCACCUCGUUACACAUGGGAAUCAUAUGAGCAAUCUUGGUAAUUACGAUAGUCCAGAGAGCAUAGUCUGGUUGGAGAAGCGAUUUAAAUUCCUGAAAGAGGAAAUGCACUUGCUAGAGACUCAUAUGGAGAGAGUUCAGUUUGAGUAUGCUUGGUUGAAGGCACACCUGGAAAACUUGGAGAGGCUGAAGGCAAACUCAUGACUAUAGCCAAAUCCUUGAAUUGGUUAAAAACCAUUGCAAGGAAGAAACAUUGGACACGUCCUCACUAUUAGAGGAUGAGCCACAUCAAGAGGUUUGUUCACAGGGACCAGCCAAUGUUAUCAUACAGCUCGUGAGGUAAUUUCUUUUGUGUAUGGUAUAGUGUAUCUAAAGUAACUAGAGGUUCAAUAGAAUGGGUUUCAAUGCAUGUACAGGUAUCAUGAUAUUAGCUCUUUAAGUUGUGUCAUUUAUUUGUCCUACUGAAUUAGAAGUCUAAAAGUUAAUCUACACAAGAGGAAUAGGGGAUGUAUUAUGUGCGCAAAGUGUUAAUCCAGCUACUAACACACAAACUGAGGGUCCAGUAAGUUACACCGGAUGCUGGCUGUGCAGACUUUAAACUCGUAAAAACACAACAAUGAUUAACCUUCUAAUGGCUAAUACAGAUUAUGUGCAUCAACGUUUCAGAGGAACUCUCUUCAUGUAGGGCUUAAAAAGUUUUUUAGGGAUGUACUCAGAUAACAGAGUUGUUAGAAAGAUCUGCUUUGUUACUAUUCCCUUGAAAAACAUAAAAGAGCAUUCCCCGUUGCAAUUAAGCCUUUUCAAUCUUAAUGUGGGAUCGUCUGUAUUUUCAGAUUUAUUUUUAGAAAAUUGUACUUAAUAGUUGGUGCUCCUAAACAUUUCCUCCUGAAUUUGGCUCAGACGGUACAGGUGAUUCUGCCUUUUAAGCUUUUGUAGUAUAGUGGUGAAUGUGGUAUUCAUUAGCUAGAAAUGAUGUUAGCAAAGAAUGCUGCUUGCUUCGUAGACCUCCAGUAAGCCAACUGAUUCUUUUUCACAAGAUGAGCGGGGCCCAUGUUGAGGAUGUUUUAAACUUAUUUUUUAUUUUUUGAGACGGGGGAAUAUUUCAUUUCUUACUUGCCAUAAGCCUCCGUAUGAUGAUUCCUUGACAACAAGCAUAUAAACAAAAAACCGUCAGAUGAUCUUAAUUAGGUCAACUGUUUUAGCUCGAGCUUGAUUUGUAAAAAAAUUGCUCUUGUUAUGAUAGAAAAGAAGCAGCAAUGAACGACCACAAGAACAUUGAAAAUAACUGAUCUCACUAAUUUUAAUUAGUGAACGACCUGGACACAAUAGUCAAAUCGAACAGCCGUCGGAGGCUAUGCUGGUGCAUCAAUCACUUGGUGCUCUUUCUGCUCUCAAGCGACAUUCGAACGAACUUCAAACAUAUAAAAGGCAAUCAUGCCUAAGAUAUUUAAUUUUUAUUCAUUAUACCUUACAUUUCCAAUUUAAUUCAACGGGCUGGGUUUGUUAAAUCCAGUUUGAUAAUAACGUGGCUAAAAAUGCUAUUUUUAUGUUUUGAAUGGACUAAACAAUUCAAAAACACUUAAUUUUUUAUUCAAUAUUAUAAAAUUAUGAUGACGAUUGUUAUUAGAAAAGCAAGUGAAUACAUGUUUCUCCGGCGGCAGUCGUCGCUCUAAUUUUCUGGCAUAAAAUAAGAGAGGAUUUAAAGUGUUUUUAAACUUUAUUGACCUUUCAAAAUGUAAAAAUAGCACUUUUAUUCACUACAUUACAAAAUUAGGCCUUAAUAUACAUUUCAGAAAUUAUAUCCCCGAAUGACAGGCUGUGGAAAGAAAAGGGCAUGACAAUGCACGUAUAAUCAGGAUCUCAAGGAAGGAGGGGUAUUAUACGCGGACCUAUUUACCUGUAUACCUCGGCUUCCUCUUCUCAGCAAAUGAAGCUAACCCUUCAAGACGAUCCUCCGUGUUCAGCACCUGCUCAUAGCAUUCUUCCUCUACUGAGAGUGCGGAGGGCAUCUCAACCUCCAUCCCUUGGUUGAUAGCCUUCUUAGCCAUUCUUACAGCUAAAGGACCCUAACAUAAAGAGAUCAAACGAAAACAUAUUUGUUUGUAUAGAAUCAGCGUAGAGCAAAGAUUAGGCAGCUAAACUAGACUCAGCUCAGGAUAUUGUGUUAGUUUUCCCGACAAAUAAACAACCUUGGAAGGGACUAGAAAAUUAGAAUAAGUAAAAGUGAAAGUUUCCUACCUUCUGGUUUAUCUCUCGAGCAAUUUGAAGGGCUUUUUGAUAUGCCUCUCCAGCAGGAACACAGUAAUUGACCAGUCCUGCCAUGAAAUAUAUCUCUUAAGGCUGAAGACACUUCCAGAAGCGGUAAAGUACAUAGAAAAGUUAUAUUAUAAAUGAUUGGGAUAAUUUGUUUUACCCAUGGACAAAGCUUCUAUUGCAUCAAACCUACGACCGGUGAAUAUCAGCUCCUUGGCAACAGAUCUUCCUACUAUUCUGGGAAGGCGCUGGGUCCCACCAGCUCUGCACUUGGUGAACAUUUGUAACACUUCAAGUGGGAACAAACAAACAUAGUCCAUGUUUACAUUUUUGAAGAAAUCCGAAACUGAACUUAGCAUUUUCAGAAUGCAUCACAGAUUUGCGAUAGUAGCCAGUAAAAAGUAAGAACUAUUACUUCAAUCUACAAGGCAUGUAUAAACAUAUAAAAAUGAAUCCCUUCUUUCCAAUAGAACAACUCACUUCAGAACCUACCCAGGAAUUAUGGCAAGUCCAGUUUCUGGCAAGCUAAAUGUUGCAUUCUCUCCUAUAAGGCAUGUUGAAAGAAGCUCAUAAGUCAAAUAUCAACAGCCAUUAAUUUAGUACAGGCGCAAUAUAUGUUGAAAUUCUAUAAAAUUUACCGGACUUCAGUUGAAAGAUAUACCACAUAUACGAAGGUCACAUGAAAGGACCAAUUCUAACCCACCACCCAAUGCUGCUCCUUCAAUAACAGCAAUUGUAGGAAUAGAAAGUGCCUGCUCAAAAGAUAGUCUAUGUCAAUCAAUAGGAUUUCUUACGUAUUAAAAGAAAUAGUCUAUGGCGAUCAACAGGAUUUCUUAUGUAAUGAAAGAGUACAUUGAAAAGCUAAAGGUGCAGAAAAAAACGAAACAAAAAAGUGAAUGAUGGGAUCUAUUCAAUGGAGGAAAAUUAGCAGGACAGUAAUUGUCAGCCUGCUUAAAAAAUAUUCCAUAUUAAUUAAUUAGUCAUCUUAAGCAAUGACAAAGACACAUAGAAAGGCUAACAGUGUAUGGAGUGAAAUAGAAUACCAGGAAAUAGUCCAUAGAAGAAAACGAGCAGGAAGAAAUUAUCAGUAUUCAUGCUUUUAUGACAAGAAGUAGCUGAUCAGAGUACAUCAAAGGCAUGUGAACUUGCAAUAGGCUCUACGUAAGCAGCAUGCAAACUUGCACAAGAAGAAUGUCACUCAUGUAAGACACAAACCUCAAAUGACGAGAAAGUUGACCUUAAAGAAUUGACGAAUAGCCGAACUUCAGAAGUAUUCAUCAGCCUCCUUUCCUGCCAAUACACUUUCAGCCGCAGCGAACUUAUGCGAAUGUUGAGACAUAUAAAUAUUUAAGUUCAAUCCCAAGAGCGAAAGUCAUAUAAGAACACAAAAUUUAAGUCCAGUAGCAUGGAUGAUUUCCAAUAAAUAUAUAAGCAAAAAUUAUUCCAUAAAUUGUUCAAAUUGUAGAUAUUUGGCAUGCAUAAGCAAAUUAGAAAACCACAUGCAGGAAGGACGAAGCUACUGUUAUACAACAAGGUAAAAACUAUUGACAAUUUACGCAGAAAGACUACUGCAAUAACUACUAUGUCUUAGGCCAUAUAGAUUAUACAGCUAUCAUGAUCUCCAAAUAAACAUGAUAAUAAUGAGCUAGCAUCAUGUCACCUAUCUUGCAAAUGUACCCUCAUUUUACAAUAGAAAUUCCAAGAUUAACAUCAGACUGUAAGUACAAUAUAUAAAUCCUGAUAAUAAGAAGAGCACAAAUGUAUAACUUCUUACACUUGGGUAUAACAUAAUCUAGAAAACACUUGAGAAAUAAAAAUCUGAAUAUCAACCAGUAUAAGGCAAGCAAUUCUGACAUACUUAAAUUACUUGAUUGCAUGCUCAGGUUCGGAUGAAAAAAAAUCAACCAACAUAAGGAAAGCACUUCUAACAUACUUAAAUUACUGUAUUGCAUGCUUAGGUUCAGCUGAGAAAAAAUAGAACUCGGUGCAUGAUACGUUAAUAAUUAAACUUGAAAAAUGUUGAUUCAUCUUAGAUGAUAAUGGAAAAGGAUGAAAUAUAAGGGCACUCUAAUCAUUCAACCUGCUAUAUUUCCGUAUCCACAUCUUACCCGACCUAUAUGCAUCUCAUGCUCAAGAGGCCAUACACCCCAUGUCGAAAGAUGCAUAUCCAUUAUAUCACUACUAUCAACAGGCCAUGAGACUUUCGCAACUCACAACAGGUCAAAAAGGUCAUGAGACAUUCAUGACAGGUCAUGAGUAAAUGACUAAAAUAUCAGAUCUUAACUGAAACUUUCCGAGAUUAGUUCCUUACUCUUCUUAUAGCAUGCAGUUGGUAUAACAAUCCAUGUUCCUUGCGGUUCAGAGACACCAGAUUCAAUAUUAUUGGGCAAUUAUUUAUAUAUCACCAAAGUUUCUUCAAUUGAGUAAUUUUUUUCACAAUCCAGAACAGAGCGAAGGGUGAUCCUGAGUACCAAUAUAGAUUACAUAGAGAAUUGAAGAUGAGGUGUUGAUGUACCUUGAGAUCAGCCCCGGCACAGAAAACCCUAGGGACCGAACUCGAGAUCAACACCACAUUCGCCGAGGAGUCUCCAUCGAUCACAUCGAGCGCGCGCCUCAGUCCGUUCAACAUCUCCUUCCCGAUCGCGUUCUUCGCCUCCGGCCUCUCCAGCUUCAGCUCGACGAUCCCUACUCCACGAAACCUCGUUAGCGAGAUCGAAAAAACGGGGGGAGAUAGAGAGAGCAAAGAAGAGAUCACCUGAAUCCGAAUCCGAGAGCUUCUCGAUCCUCACGGGAUCGGGGAGUGUUUGGAGUAUGAGGCUCCUCCGGAAUAUCGCGCGGUGGCGGAGCUGCGGCCCCACGGCGGACGCGGUGGUUGUGGGGAUCGGAGCAUGGGAGGAGGAUCGGGAAGCUCCGGCGAUGGCGAGGUGAAGGAGACGAGGAGAUGAGGAGGAGGAGGAGGAGGAGGAGGAGGAGCUAAUGGCGCUCGAGGAGAGGCGGAGGAGGCGGCGGCGGAGGGAGACUAGGGUUUGGACGUGACGCAUCGCGCAUCGCUCGGCGAUUACAAGCGCGGCAGUGGAGACUGUGCAGUGGGAGGAGUGGGGAAGUGAUCACGGCUCUUGCGAUUGGAUAGAGACGAAGUGGGAAAUAAUUAAAAUAAAAUAUAGAUAAUUGGGUAAUAGUUUUUUUUUUUUUUUUUAAGAAAAAAGUAUCACGUUGACUGUUUCAUUUAUUGGAAUAGUAAAUUAAGCUACAUAAAUGAGAUAGUAAGGCCUCGAAGGAGUUGACAAAAAAAAUCCUCAAAAAAAUUGUUCCCACUGGGUCCUCAAAUUGAUUGAUCCUAUACACCGCUAGGGUCGGGUUCAACGUGAUCGUCCGGAAGAUUACUCCAUUUCUUGUUUCCCAGAUGACCCACCAACUAGCAACUAACACAGAAGGCGGAGACCGCAACGGUUGCCCGCCCGUCCUAGCCAGGAAACUGUCCCAAAGGGAGAGCACGUCGUUAUCCCCAUUUGAUGGUUGAUUACCCUACCAUCACCCUAAGAAAUCGAGCGAAAACACACCAAAUGAAUAAGUGAUCAACAAUUUCCUCGUCUCCACCACACAGCACACAAACAGUGUUGCCCGUCGAGCCUCACUCCGCAAGGUUAUCUGCUCUGGGUAUUCUCUUCUUAAAAUAAUUGGGUAAUAGUUAAUGAAUAAUUAUAUGCGACUUAUUAAUUAAUGAAUUGUAGUUAGUGGACAAUAGUUUUUUUUUAAAAAAAAUUGCUUUUCUUAGGAAACCCAAAUACUACGGCCUUGCUUAGUAUCAUAGUUAUUUUUUAAAUAAAUUUUUAACAUCAAAUUGUAUAAAAAAGACGAUGAAUUAUUUUCAAUCUUUAUAUCCAAAGUAUUUGUUUGGAAAUUAAAAAUAUAAAUUUGUAUAUUUUUGUUUACUUUUAUUUUUUUUUUUAAAAGUUAUUAUUCAUCAGUUGCUCGGAUUACAUUUAUUAAGCUAGUUAAUAAUGAUUUAUAAUUGGAUAAAAGUACUCCUGUUUUUUUUACUUUUUUUCUUGAUCUAAUUUGUAUCCACUUUUGUUUCACCGUUCAUCACAUUAUUGCACAAAAAUCUAUACCUAUACAUUAUUCCUUAUAAAUUUUGCCACAUGACAAAGUCUCCUUCAUCCUUACCUUCUUCUUCCAUCCUUGCCUUCUUCCUAAUUCCUAAUGAUCGAAUUUAUUAUCUUUUAUCUAUUUCUCAUAAACUUUGCCGCAUUGCAAAGUCUUCUUCAUCCUUACCUUCUUCUUCCAUCCUUGCCUUCUUUCUAAUUCCUAAUGAUCGAAUUUAUUAUCUUUUAUCUCCGCGUGAUAUUUCGUCUUCUCACGUGUCCAUUUCUGAAUUAAUAUGUCCACAUUCCUUGUCAUCUAAAUAAAUCAAUAUUAUAAAAAAAUAAAUAAAAUAAGAUAUGUAUUGUCGUGAUUAAAUAAAAACUCAACGCUGACAAUGACGGUGAAUGACAAGUGGGGAUCAAGAUUCACCUUUUCGAUAUCAGCAAGACAAUUAAGGUGCGCGUAUGGAGUAGUGUUCUAUUGCCUUUUUAUUAUUAUUAUUGCGUGUACGUAAUUUAUUUGCUAAAUUAUAAAUUUUAUUAUAUUUGUUUCAUAUCUUUUAUUUGUACUUAUUGAUUUCUCAUGACAAGUGAAAAAAUUUUAAAAUAUUUUAGUUUGUCAAUCUUCUGUCCCUUAUAGUAUCAAGCGCAAGUAACUUCACUAGUCGAGAAUUAAACCGUCUCACAUUAAAAACUAAUUCCAUCAUUUUUUUUUAAUAUAUAUUUAUAAAUGCCCACCAUUAAGGUUUGUACCAUACGUAUUUUAAUUAUAUAAUUAUAUAAUAACCAAUAUUUCACAGAUAAAAUUAACAAAAUCCUUAUCAGCAAAAUAUUACAUAGACGAGACACAUUUUUCCUAGCAGAAACGUAAUAGCUAGUGUAAUUGUUAAAUUAUAAAAUAUUAUUUAUAACAUGCAAAAUAUAUUGCAUGUUAUAAAUAAUUUUUUGUGCUUUCCUGGGGUUUAUGAGGCAUUCGUAAUUCGUAAAUACAUGUGAAUGUGAAUCACACUAUAUAUCCCUGCGAGAGAAUAAUUUACUUAAAUAUAUUUUUACACUACAACAAAAACGGUCUAUAGCGACACUUUUAAAUAUAGGUACAUGUCAAAAAAAUGCUGCUAGCUAAAAUUACCGACACUUGUAAAAAGUGUUGCUAUAUGUGGGGUCGUUAGGUAUAUAGUGACAGUUAAAGAGUGUCGCUAUAAUCUAAAAGAGUGCUGCUAAUUUACCAACACUUAUUUAAGCAUUUAGCAACCGCCGAAACUCUAUCUCGUUGGCUGCGGUGGCGGAGGAGGACGACAGUAAAGGCUCUUCGUCUAGAAUUUCAGUGGAUUGAGUGAAGAGAGAAGAAAGGAUGGUUAUUGAUUUUUCUUUUUUUUUUCUUUUCCGUUUGUAAUCGGGUCAAAUGGACUGGGUGUGGUGGGUUGAGUAGAUGUGUUUUUAAGUUUUAGUAUAAAUGAGAUACUUACUCAAAAGUAUUCUAAACAUGUGUUCCUAUAACUUAAUUCUAUUGUAGUGUUAUUGUUGGACGAUAUAUAAUGGUGACGAAGUUCAUGCUCCACCAUUUUAUUGUUUCAUAAUAUGAGAUGGGUGAGUGCACAGAAUAUCUCAAUUUAUUACGGAUUAGAGAGAGAACACAAACCCCACCUACAUAAAUAAAUGAUGAAUAGUUGAGUAGUAAAUUUUGGCCCACUAAAAUUAAAUUAAUUUUGUUGACAAAUCUCAAACAUCUAUCUACUUUCAAAGACUCAGAAUUAAAAAAAAAAACAAUAACAAAUUAGCUAGUGAAAGAAAGAGUGUAAAGUAAAGCUCUAUUUAAUGAUCUUUUUUGAGAUCUAUUUGUUUAAAUUAGCUAGGUAAGAUAUGCGGAAUUUAUAUUAUUUCGUGAUUCUUACCAUUAGAUUUAUUCAUUAUUUAAGUCAUACGUACUUGGAUGCACAAAUAUUUUACUUGAUUUGUUUUUUCUGAUAUAUUUAAGAAAUUUGUAGUAUUUGGUGGACAAAGAGUAUAAUCAAAUGUUUGGAUUUAAAUAUCAUAUAUAUAUAUUCGGCCUGUUAAUUAUUUUAAUAUGUUAUCCUACCAAAUUUUACAUAUAAAAAACUUAAAAAAUUCAAAUUAAACUAAAAAUUAUUCAAUCCUGAAACAAAUUUUUUACACUUGAGUAAACUAUCAUUAAAUAACUUGGUCUUACAUUUAAACAUCACCUUACUCAGUCAUAUUGACUAACACAAGAAACACAACCCAUUCUUGCUCCGUGGACCAGACGGGCGCCCAAAAAUAACAGCAACAGCAAUAUACAAAUAUACAAUUAAUAAAUGCAAAACAUUACUCGUUCCCUUUUUUUGAUCUAUUCUACGAAAGCUACAGCUUUGAUAGAACUCGGUGAAUCGUCAGCUUUUUCCCUUUUUUUGUUUUUCCUUUAGAAAGCUACAGCUUAAAGAUCAAACUGACGAUCACUAAAUAUGAAUAAAUGAAAUAUGAAUAAAUGAAUGAUUUUAAAAGACAUAUUACAAGGCGAAGACCAAUAUAUGUUUACCCCGAGAUAUUAUUUGGACUCGACCCUUUUCUUAUAUUAUUAUAUGAGUAGAGUUACUAUACUAUCGAAGGUAUAGAAAAUCUGAUACUUUUAAUUGUUAGGUUCUUAAAUUAGUCCUUUUAAUUAUUUUUAAUUUUUAGAUUAAAUCUGUUAUUUUGUGGGGACCAAGGCACUACUCAAUUCUAGUAGGGAUCGCAAUUAUAUUGACUGUAUAAUUUUUUAUCCAACUGUCGGAAAGAUAAAAAAUUUUAAAAAAAAUUUCACGAGGGGCUGGCGACGUAUCCGUACGGUUCGGGCGGAGCUUCGGAGGGCCGGUCGAGGCGGAGCGCGAGAGCGCGGUUGGCGUAGACCUUCUUGAUGCUGGGCCGCUGGUGGCGCAGCAGGCGGACGACGCUCCGGCUGGCGUCGGGGCGGAAGUCGCGGCCGGAGCCGGCGAAGCCGUCGACGAGGUGCAGGUACGCCUCCAGGUCGUGGCUGCAGACGGGGCCGGCGUCGGGGCGGAGGCACGGCGAGUCGCGGCUGUCCACCCGCAGCUCCGCGCCCACGUGCUCGUACCCGCGCCCGGAGGCGAAGGCCCCGGGCACCCGCGUCACCACGUCGCCCGCGUUGACCACCCGCAGCACGUUGACACCGCCGGCGCGCCGGAGGCGGUCGGCGAAGGCGGCGUCGCCGACCCUGGGCCCGCCGAAGGAGAGCACGGCGAUGGGGGGCACGCGCGGGGCGCAGGCGCGGAGCUCGUCGGCGGCGAGGAGGGCGAGCGCGCCGCCGAGGCUGUGGCCGACGACGGUGAUGCUCAGCUCCUCGCCCUCGUAGAGGCGGAGGAGGCGGCGCACCUCGUCGACGAUGGCGGAGGAGAGGCUGGGCACGCGCUCCCCGGGGGUCUCGUACAGGCUGAGGAAGCCGCGCGCCACCCUGGGGAGGUCGGGUUCGGCGGCGGCGGCGGCGGCGGGGAGGGGGACGAGGGAGGUGCGGAGGUUCUCGGCCCACUCGUGGCAGGUGGCGGUGCCGCGGAGGACGACGGCGAUGUCGCGGCGGCCCAUGCGGGCGAUCUCGCGGUCGGAGUCGCAGACGGCGACGAAGCCGACCCAGCUGGAGCGCUGGGUGAGCCAGUCGGGCGCGGAGGAGAGGUGGGUGUGGGCCCACUCCGGGAGGGCGAGGGAGGAGGUGGCGAAGAGGCUCCGCGUGGCGCGGUAGGACCGGUCGGGGAGGACGACGUGGCGGUGGCCGGAAGAGGAGGAGGAGGAGGAGUGCUCGAAGGCGCGGUAGGCGGAUUGGACGAAGUCGCCGUAGCGGAGGAGCUCGCGGCGGAGGUCGGGGUCGAGCGGGUCGAGGAGCCCGUCCCAGGAUUCGGCGCCGUGGUAGCGGCGCCACGCGGCGGCGAUGGAGCUGCGCGGGGAGGGGCGCGGGGACUCGGAGAGGAGCCGCUGCAGGUGGCUCAGGCUGCGCGGCGACAUCGUCUGAUCGUUGUCCCCUGCCUGUCGCCUGAACGGCUGGGGGAAGAGCCCCGAGGGGAUCAGGCUCAGCGCGUUGAAGAUCCCCCCGCCCCCUCCUCCUCCUCCUCCUCCUACCCUGCUUGCAUUAUCAGCAGGGGGAGAUGACGCAUGGUUGUCCUCGUGGGUUGUUCGGAGAGGAUCCAGAGGAGGUGGCGUCGGGGAGGGUUUGGAGAGGACGCGGUCGAGGUUGGAGAGGUGGGUUUUGGUGCCAUUCGUAGUAACUGAGGAGGAGGAGGAGGAGGAAUACGCGACGACGAUGGGGACGGUGCCUUUGAGGUUGUGGUGAUACUGGGGAUUGAAAGAAGAAGAAGAAGAGGAGUAGCAGCUUUGGACGAGAGAGGAGGAGGAGGAGGAGGAGGAGGAGGGAAGGGACACCGACACGGGGGCGGUGGCGACGAUCAUGGAUAUGGGACGAUAAGAGGGAGAGAUAAAACCCUACUCGUAUGUAUGUUAGCGUAAAAUGUUGCAAACGCUAUACUGCACCCCCCACGUCCCACUUAUAUAGAGUGCGGGUUUACCUAAUUAAUUUAAUACACUGACGACGAUGAUGUAUAUAGAUCCUACGGGCCCUUGACACGUGGAUUCGGCUUCGGUUCAAUCGCUUCGGUAGGGAGGUCGACGGUGUGUUCUGGUGGUCAGCAUCCGACUUGAAAUUGAAACAAAAUGUCAGAGGUGUGAAGCAUGCAAUGACUGCAAUCUAGCUGUCGGCUGACGCUGGUUUCUUUAUAACGAAGGUUGUUCCGUCGAAUUUGGUACAGCUUAAAAUUCUUAUGACGUAAGACACUGAUCACAACGCAAUAGAGGUUCGAAAUUCCUUAUUCCAACUUGCUAUUUUCGCUAUUUAUUAUUAGAUUAAAAUAUAUUUUACUUUCUACUAUGUAAUAAUAAUAAAAUAAAUUCAGAAAAUUAAUACGUUGAAUUGAAUAAUUGAACUUAAUAGGUUAAGUAGAAUUUUGAUCUACAAUAGAUCUAACGGUAAGAGACCCAACAAUAAAUUCAACAUCCAAAUCGAAAUCCUGACUGAGCUCUUAAGUGCGAUGGGUGCAUCCUUUCUAUCCGUAUGUAUUUUUGGAAUGAUUAGCUAGCGCCGCAUUCAAGUUAGAACAAAACACUCAAAUCCUCUUACUUCGUCGUCAUCGUCGGAUUUAAUAUAGAUAGCCAUUCAGAGAUAAUCUGUUGGAUAUAAAUGGUCGAAUUCGAAUGCUGUACUUAAAAGAAUACUAAUUUGUUGGCGCAUUUUACUCUCGUAAGUCCAAAUUAGAUAUUAUAGCCGACAUAAUUAUGGCAGUACUCGCCAAAUUUACAACCAUUUUUUCCAUUAAGAGACCGUUUAGUUAGAUAUAAUUAUAAAUACAGUGUAGUUAAAGAUGCAUGUAGUUAAAAAUAUAAUAGUUACAACUAUAUAAAUUUUGUUUGGUUAAAUGUAGUAGAACGCGCUAUGAGUAUAAAUAAUUUAUUUGGUUGCAUCCAGUUUAGAGAUAAUUUUUAAAAUUUUAUCAUUUUAUAUAUAUGAUGGCGAGAUUACCUUCAAUGUAAAAAACUUUUAUUUAAAAACUAUUGAGGAGGUAAGCAUAUCUUUUAUUUUAAGUUACUCUUUCCAACUGCUGCAGUUGGAACUGCGGCCAAUUUGAGCAUAAUUCGAACUGCUGCAGUUGGGCCUCUUCCUGCAGUUCUUACUGCAGCGGUUAGAGUUAAAUAUAUCAAAUCAAACAUCAAAUUUAUAUUUACAUACAGUUAACUACAGUAUAGUUGCAACUAUAUACAACCAAACGGCUCCUAAAAUGUACAAGAUUCUAGAGCUUUCCGAUACCGGAAAGAAGUAGAUUGCAGGUAGAUUUUAAAUUAAUAACAGGUCAGGCUACACUUAGUUACUUAAUUAAUCUUCAAAAAAAUUAAUAUUAGUUGUUUAAUUAUCAACAGACCUAUCAAUCUACUUCUAAUUAAUGCUGCGAACGCAAGCAGGAUUAUGAAAACGAAGGAUUAGCGGCGAGUUUGGUCGCAUUCCGGGAAAUCGUGUGAGCUUAAUUCCUAAUAGAUGCGACCGUUUCGCUUGUUUUUACUCUUCGCCGCACGUGUAAACGGAGGACCCGUACGUGUAACCUAACCCUUGUGGGAGAUUCAACCUA
rnacentral:lncRNA from 1 species